UCUAUAUUUGAUUGAUGAAAUGUGAAAAAUUACUCUUUUUUUUUGUAGUCACCAAAUUUUGUUUUUUGCUCAAUAUACGUUUCUCCUCAUUUAAACCCAGUUUUGUUUGAAACUAGGAAAUUGUGCCUUCGUUAUUUACUGGAGCUCAUGCAUUACAUUGUUCUGCAUUUUCUUCAAAUUUCCAGCAUUUUUUUCUUGUUCAAAGACUGCUGAGGCAUAAUCAAUGCAACUAUUAGAAUCUAUAUAAAAUAUAAUAGCGAUAGGUUUUUGAGACUUCGUUUCCGGGAGGGGACUAUGGGUGAACAGACUGUCGAGAUUCGUCGUGCAAGAGAAGCUAUCAAGCAAAAAAUGCGAGCUGGGGAUUACACUGCUGCAAGGACCUUAAUUCUUGAAGCUCUGAAGGUCUUCCCAACACUUGAUCGAGCAUCGGAGAUGCUCACAGUCUGUGAAAUCCUUUGCUCUGCAGAAAUGGAGCUGCCGGGCUCAGGAAUUGAUUGGUACUGGGUGCUUCAGCUCUUUGCUUCAGCUACUCCCGAUGCGAUCAAGGCCCAGUAUCAAAAGAUUGCAAGCCAGCUGAAUCUAAUUAAGAAUGACUUCCCUGGCACUGAGUUCGCCCUUGAGUUUGCAGCUGAUGCUUUCUCUGUGCUUUCAGAUCCUAUAAAGAGGGCAGCAUUUGAUUCCAAGAGAAAUGCGUUUCAAGACCUGUCUCAGGAUCACAAUACGGUGAACCCUUCUAGGCUUAAGAGAGCAGCAAGUGGGGUUUAUAGUGGAAAUGGAGAUGUUGGUGAUAAACAGAAGAGGAAAAUUUAUGAUUUGGAAGCAAGUUGGGUUACACAUCAAGUGAACUCCUCAGAUAAUGACAAUCCCCUAAAGGCUUUGGGAGUUUUAGAAGGAAAUCUUGUAUCCAGAAAACGGCCAGAGAAGGACUUUUACGACUUCGAGAACAGUAAGAAGGCCGAACUCUUUUCCGUGGGUCAAAUUUGGGCAGCUUAUGAUCAAGAAAUAAUGCCUCGGCGUUAUUGCAAAAUUGAUAAGGUCAUAGCUCAGAAACCUCAAAUCUAUGUCACAUGGUACAAAGCUUGCCCGUGCCAAUCCUCUGAGAAGAAAUGGCAGGAUGCCGGCUUUCCAUUUGCCUGUGGAACCUUCACUCUUGAGCCGAACAAAAUGACUCUUACUGACGCUUCUAUGCUCUCUUACAUACUUUCUGAUGGAGUGACUAAAGAGACGCUUGAGAUUUACCCAAAGAAGGGUGAGGUUUGGGCUAUCUAUAGAGAUCGGAACAUGGAUUGGUGCUCUAACCCGGGGAUGAGGAAGAAUUCUACGUUUGACAUUGUUGAAAUUCUUGAUGAUUGUUUGAAAGAUUCUGCUGCUAAUGUUGCCUACUUAGUGAGGGUUAAUGGGUUUAAAAAUGUAUUUCAGAGGUACUCGAGGAGAGGGAUUGAGCUAUCUUUCAAAAUCCCUGCUGAUAAGCUUUUAAUGUUCUCCCACAGGAUCUCAGCAUUUAGAUUCAUCGGUGGAGAACUAAGUGGGAUAUCAAAUGGGAUGUUAGAGUUGGACCCAUUGGCCAUACCAGAUAAUUUGGUUCAAGAUUUCUCAUGUUCUGCUGUUGGACUUGUGGAUUUAACCUCCCAAUCAGAUGAAGAAAAAGACUGCAGUGAUGAUGCUAGCACUACCCUUCUCAUGAAUCCCUCCACAAGCAUGGUAAAUAUUGGGGGAUCAAAAUCAUGGUUCUGGAAUCGAAAAGUAAAAUUGGCACAAAAUGACUUCGCGCACGAUCAAGUUUGGGCAGUUUAUAAUUGUUCGGAUGCAAUGCCUCGAUCAUAUGUCAAAGUAAACAAUGUGGUAUCACCCACCAAAGUAUCUGUCACGAUCUUAGAACCACACCCAAGGUUCGACAAAGAGAUACGAUGGGUGGAGGAGGAGUUACCAUUUGUAUGUGGGAUAUUUAGAGCUAGCAAAACCAUAUUGAACUUAGAAAUGUACAAGUUCUCGCACCUUGUUAACUGUGAUAGGAGCUCUAAGAAAACUUUCUACAGAAUUUUCCCAAGGAAGGGUGAGAUCUGGGCAAUGUACAGGAAUUGGGACAUCGAUUGGAAAACUUCUUCACUUGAUGGGUAUAAAUGUCGAAUGGUCGAGAUCCUGUCAGACUUCUCUGAGGAGAAUGGCGUGGGAAUGAUAUGCAGCUUAGUUCAGGUGCCAGGGUGUUUGACGUUUUUCCAGAGGCAGAUGCAUGAUGAGUUCCAGCUCACAAAGCAAAUCUCGAGGUUAGAAUUGCUAAGCUUAUCUCAUCGAGUCCCAGCAUUCACUGUGAUUGGGAUAGAACAUCCUGACAUUCCGAAAGGAUUGCUGCAUCUUGAACCUGAUGCGCUGCCUCCAAAGCUCAUCAGCUAGAAAAAGCAGCGCUUUUUGGCUGAUUUCAGUAAUUACAUUACUACUGGUGGAAGAAAUAAAUGUUGAGAUCGCCGAGUUGAUCAAGGCGUCAGGUUAAGGUUCUGGACUGGAAGGGUCUUGUUUCAAAUCCCUCUCUCAACAUUCUAUAUGUUUCAAAACUGACAGAAGAUACAGGAUUCAUGAAAUCUGACGCCAAGACUUUGGGAUAAAGAGUUUACUGUUAUUACUGUUAUUCAUGGAAGAAACAUACCCCAUUUUCGCUUCCUCCUGAUUCCUGGGUGUAGUGUCAACUCUUCAUUUCUGUGAAGGCUUGCAGUUAUGAAGUAGAGAAGUUCAAAGAAAUGUGAAAACCUACUCGAAUGGGUGAAAAAAGAAGCGCCUGAUCUCCAGGCAUCAUCUCUGAUGGUGGAUCUUCUCCUUCCGUCGUCCACUUUGAACAUUACCGUUUGAAAUUUUAUAAAAAGCGGGGGAAAUGGGUGAAAAAAGCAGAAGCGGCACCUUGUCACUUCCCAAAGACACUUUCGAGACAAAAGCGGACGAAGGGGUCUAAAAGCAACCCAAAGUGGUCGAAAAGCAGUCUACAGCGAACCAAAGCGCUAGUGCUGGAUCGUUUUUACUCAUUUUACAUAGUUUUCCCCUUUUUCUACAGAGGCUUCU